CCGAAUACCGGGAGCUCCGGCUCCCGCACCUACCGCGCGGCUUCGGCCCGCGGUCAGCGUGAAACCCUUUGUGAAACGCCCCGGUUGCUUCGGCAGCUCCUUCCCCCGCCGCGGUACCCCCGCGGCGCGUGGGACGGGUCAGUCUGCCGGCGGCUCCAGCGAAACUACUCUGCGGAAAGAAGCUUGAUUGCAGUCUGAACGAAAAGUCGAAUGACAACUUA
rnacentral:misc_RNA from 1 species